ensembl:lncRNA
CCGCCGUGCCGGGGCUGCUCCCGCGGCGCUGCAUCCACACAGCGAACCGACGGCCCCGCGGUGCGAUCCGGAGCGCGUCCGCUUUAUGAAGUCGGGCAUCCUGCGUGGUAAACGCGCGCGGUGGGUACCUGGAAAGCGCUGUGCGGUCUCUUCCAUCGUGCGAGCCGGCUCGGGGCAAAGAACGCGUUGCCCUAUUCGUGUUCCCGUCCCGCUCCUCUCCGUCCCUCCUCGCUCUGCUCUCCCGUCGGCGGUCGCUAGAGGGAAGCGCACUCCCGUCCCGCUGCGGGCGCUGUGUGGGGCUGCCCCGGGGGUUCGGCUCCGUUCGGAAGCAGCGGCCGCCGUGGGGCUCAGCCCAAAUUCAGGCGGGGGGUCUCUGGGGGGCAGUGCGAAGCCGCGCUCCCGCUCCAGAAACCGGGUAACGAGGCCGCGUGAGUUAUUUGCGGCUCUCUGUGGGCUGCGGUGCCCUCUGCCCAAGAUAAGGCCCCUCUGCGGGGACCCCAGAUCAUUUUGCUAAGCUCUAAUUGUCCUGAUUCGUGCUUGGAGAAUCCAGGCUGCGAGUUAACCUGAUGGUGCCUGCAGCACUCACCUCUCAGUCUGCACGGAGCCAGCUGUUCCCUUGUCCUCUUUGCUCCCUCAAACCAAAGUUUGUGCAGUGUUGCUCAAAGCUUCCCCAUCUUUAGAGGUGCAGCAGACCCCAUGGGAUACGGGACCAGGAGAGCACUGUGAUGUGGGGCUGUGUGGGGUUUGGAAGCAGCUCAUGGUCUGCAUCCAACCUCUGCUCCUUCCUCCCAUCCCUGCUUUACCCCCAGCCCCAUCUGGCUGCCCCUUCCCUGGAGCUCGGGCACCUUGGGUGCAGUGGCAGAGAGCAGCCAAGCUACGGUGACUGCUGCUGUGACCUUGGCUGGUGUCCUUCAGAGCCACUGUCCUUCAGAGGGAGAAGUCUGUACCUCCCCAGCAGCUCUGCCCUACAUCCUCCUGGUGCCGGGGCCGCCACCUCCGGGGCUGCAUCCUCAGUGCAGGGCAGGGGCUUCUCCCCUCCCAUCAGCAGUUCAGGUCACUCCCAUACAUGUGGUCUGCAGCAUACUCGUGCUCUGACCUCAGAGCUACAGGGAUGCAGGGGCUGAGGGUCCCCAUUCCCCAGGUUCACAUCCUCCUCUCCCCCCUUCCUCAUGCAGCUCAGGGCUGGGCAGGUUUCUCCUGUGAUUAAAACAGACUGAGAGCCCCACUUCAUCACUACAAUUGCCCUGUCAAUAUGCAGGCAUUAGCGAGGGCUGCUGGACCAGUCCUUGUGCACUGACACAUCCCUGUCAAUAACCCCUGGAUUUAAGCCCGUGGCUCAGAGUAUCUUUGCUUAUCUCAGCUCCCCAAAGCACUUACGUUCCCGGCCAUCAUAACUCCCUGCCUGUAAGCACAGUCAGGCACCAUUAGACCCGGAGCAAACAGCUGCUGCAGCAAAUUCUGCAGCUAAAAGUGCCGUGAAGGUGUUUUCUACCUGCUCUGUUGCAGGUGAGUUCCUGCAGCCCAGCAGGUGAGGGCUCUGUAUCGGGUGGGCUCACAGUGCAGGAAUGUCCUGCAGCAGUGCGUGCCCAUAGCAGUGCGUGCUCACAGAGCUCUCCCAGGCGAGGACAAUGCAAGGAUUUAUUUUUAUGCAGCCCAUUUCAUUUAUCUCUGGCACAUCACAGAGCGACAAUUCACCUCUCGGUGCACCAGCUGCAAAAAGCUCUGCUCCCUCUGCCUGGAAGCACCUCAGAUUGGCCCUUCCCCGAGGCUGGGUGUUUAACAGAGACUUACAGCUCAAUCUGUUUAGCUUAUCGAAAAGUAGCCUGAGAUGUGCUUUGAUUGCAGUGUACAAGCACCUUCCCGGGGAGAAAAGUGCCAGGUAUUAAAAGCCCUUUAACUUUGCUGAGUGAGGAAUAAUGAGAACUGAAGGCUUGGAGAUAAAGUCAGACGAAGGGACACUUGGAACCUGCAGCCAGAGGGGUGCUGGGGGGCCUCUCUGAGGGCAGUGCUGGGCUGGGCAGCUCCAUCCCUCUGCCUGGUGUUGGCAGAAGCACAUCUUAAGCUCCUGUGCUCUGCUGAGCCUGGGAACGCAGAGGUGACCUUUCCUGGGGCAGCCGGAGCGUGAUGAAGGAAAUUUCUGCAACAAGGGAAAUUCCAGCCUGCUGGGAAGUGUGCAUCGUGGUGCAACUCCAACCCAAAAUCAAGCACCUCUCUUCACUCUGAUUGCAGCCCUGUGCCCACCUCUGCAGUGGGGGCAAGAGGGGCUGCAGGCCCUGCUGAGUACCCCAAGGAACCCCAGGAGCUGCUGCAUAAGGGCCAUAGCAGAGCUCAAUUUGCUCCCUGCUGUUCCUGCAUGCCCGGGCUCAGCUGCAGCCAGCAGAGCAUGAAGCAGCUUUGCAGGUGCAAAGGCAAAUCUGUCUGCCCGGCAGCUCCCAGAUUUCAGAGCCAGGGCACAAUGACACAGCUCUGCUCCAGCUGCUGCGGCGCUGCCAGCUUUAUCCCAACCUUCCUCUCCACCUGCCGUCACUGCACCACAGUCAGAGCUGCGCACAGCGCUGCCCUCUUGGCUGCUACUGAAAAAAUGAAAUAAAAGGGAAACUCUCAUCCUGGGCACGUGUUGGACAAAAAGGAACGGGGCAGCUCCAGCCCUGUGCUUGGGAUGCCUUCAUAAAGGGGUAUUUCCAGGGCAGGUCUGCACCUGCGGAUGGUCGGUGCCUCAGCAGAGCAGUGCAGGUGGGUGUGAUGACCACAGAUAACUGCUGGAGUCUGCACAGAUCCGGAGAGGAGCAGAGACACAAAGCAGAGAUAUUGAGUAAUUCCCAAACAACAUUUCAUGCGCUGAAUAUCUGGGCUGUGAUUCUGCUGAGACCUGGCUUUGUAAUUGGAUCUGUCAAAAACCCAUCACACUUAAUGUGCAGCUGUCACCGAGACACGCGUUUUCAUGCUGCACCUCAAGGCUGACGCCGGAUUCCCCCUCUCCUGUCCCCCUUUGUGUGCUGGAUCCAUCAUGGGAGCCUGGAGCUGCCUGGCCAGCAGAGGUUGUGCUGGUGACCCAUUGCAGCUCCUGGUGGCCCCAUCACAUCAUCUCCCCAUAGAGGAAAGCCCAGGGAAACCCCAGCAGUGCACUGGGCUCUGGUCCCAGUAAACCCACCUGAGUUCCACCAGGCAAGGAGCAGGAGAUGCAAUGGGGAUGUUUUGUGUAUUGACACCAUUUAUAAGCUGAUGUAAAUGAGCUUUACAUAUUACUGCUUUCCUUGCUCAUUGUUUGCAGGAGGAGGACAGAAAUGUGCUCCUUCAACCUGUGCUUUGCAGGGCCCAGCCUUGCAGACCCCCGGCUCCCUGCCCACCAUAAAUCAGGGGGAUCCCUGGAAGGUGCUGAGAGUGGGGCCAGAUAUGCUGGG